UACGUAGGGUGCAAGCGUUGUCCGGAAUUAUUGGGCGUAAAGAGCUCGUAGGCGGUCUGUCGCGUCUGCUGUGAAAACUCGGGGCUUAACCCCGGGCCUGCAGUGGGUACGGGCAGACUAGAGUGCGGUAGGGGAGACUGGAAUCCUGGUGUAGCGGUGAAAUGCGCAGAUAUCAGGAGGAACACCGGUGGCGAAGGCGGGUCUCUGGGCCGUAACUGACGCUGAGGAGCGAAAGCGUGGGGAGCGAACAGG
rnacentral:rRNA from 1 species